rnacentral:rRNA from 1 species
UACGAAGGGGGCUAGCGUUGUUCGGAAUUACUGGGCGUAAAGCGCACGUAGGCGGUCUGUCGCGUCUGCUGUGAAAACUCGGGGCUUAACCCCGGGCCUGCAGUGGGUACGGGCAGACUAGAGUGCGGUAGGGGAGACUGGAAUUCCUGGUGUAGCGGUGAAAUGCGCAGAUAUCAGGAGGAACACCAAUGGCGAAGGCAGCUCGCUGGAACGGUACUGACGCUGAGGCGCGAAAGCGUGGGGAGCGAACAGG